UGGGGAAUUUUGGACAAUGGGCGCAAGCCUGAUCCAGCCAUACCGCGUGCAGGAUGAAGGCCUUCGGGUUGUAAACUGCUUUUGUACGGAACGAAAAGACUCCUUCUAAUAAAGGGGGUCCAUGACGGUACCAUAAGAAUAAGCACCGGCUAACUACGUGCCAGCAGCCGCGGUAAUACGUAGGGUGCGAGCGUUAAUCGGAAUUACUGGGCGUAAAGCGUGCGCAGGCGGUUAGGUAAGACAGAUGUGAAAUCCCCGGGCUCAACCUGGGAACUGCAUUUGUGACUGCAUGGCUAGAGUACGGUAGAGGGGGAUGGUAUUCCGCGUGUAGCAGUGAAGUGCGUAGAUAAGCGGAGGAACACCGAUGGCGAAGGCAGCCUCCUGGGCCAGUACUGACGCUCAUGCACGAAAGCGUGGGGAGCAAACA
rnacentral:rRNA from 1 species